rnacentral:rRNA from 1 species
UACGAAGGGGGCUAGCGUUGCUCGGAAUCACUGGGCGUAAGGCGCACGUAGGCGGAUUGCUAAGUCAGGGGUGAAAUCCUGGAGCUCAACUCCAGAACUGCCUUUGAUACUGGCGAUCUCGAGUCCGGAAGAGGUGAGUGGAACUCCUAGUGUAGAGGUGGAAUUCGUAGAUAUUAGGAAGAACACCAGUGGCGAAGGCGGCUCACUGGUCCGGUACUGACGCUGAGGUGCGAAAGCGUGGGGAGCAAACAGG